UACGUAGGGGGCAAGCGUUGUCCGUAAUCAUUGGGCGUAAAGAGCGUGUAGGCGGCUUGGUAAGUCCGCUGUGAAAGUCCAGGGCUCAACCCUGGAAUGCCGGUGGAAACUGUCAAGCUUGAGUCCGGAAGAGGCGAGUGGAAUUCCUGGUGUAGCGGUGAAAUGCGCAGAUAUCAGGAGGAACACCAAUGGCGAAGGCAGCUCGCUGGGACGGUACUGACGCUGAGACGCGAAAGCGUGGGGAGCAAACAGG
rnacentral:rRNA from 1 species